UAGGGAAUCUUCCGCAAUGGGCGAAAGCCUGACGGAGCAACGCCGCGUGAGUGAUGAAGGUCUUCGGAUCGUAAAACUCUGUUAUUAGGGAAGAACAAAUGUGUAAGUAACUAUGCACGUCUUGACGGUACCUAAUCAGAAAGCCACGGCUAACUACGUGCCAGCAGCCGCGGUAAUACGUAGGUGGCAAGCGUUAUCCGGAAUUAUUGGGCGUAAAGCGCGCGUAGGCGGUUUUUUAAGUCUGAUGUGAAAGCCCACGGCUCAACCGUGGAGGGUCAUUGGAAACUGGAAAACUUGAGUGCAGAAGAGGAAAGUGGAAUUCCAUGUGUUGCGGUGAAAUGCGCAGAGAUAUGGAGGAACACCAGUGGCGAAGGCGACUUUCUGGUCUGUAACUGACGCUGAUGUGCGAAAGCGUGGGGAUCAAACAGG
rnacentral:rRNA from 1 species